rnacentral:rRNA from 1 species
AAAAACAUGUCCUUGAGAUAAUAAUUUAAGGUCUGGCCUGUCCGCUGAUAGUUGAGGACUGCGGUAUCUUGACCGUGCAAAGGUAGCAUAAUAAUUAGUCUUUUAAUUGAGGACUGGAAUGAAUGGUUUGACGAGAUAAUAACUGUCUCAAUAAUUUAGAUUGAAUUUUCCUUUUAAGUAAGAAGACUUGAAUAACAAUAGGGGACGAUAAGACCCUAUAGAACUUUAUAAUUUUUAUAUAAUAAUUUUAUAAAUUAAUUAUUUUACUGGGGUGGUAAAGAAAGAAAUAAACUUUCUAAAGAGAAACAUUUUAAGUGAGUAAAAGGUCCAUUAUUAAUGAUUAGGAGAGUAAGUUACCUUAGGGAUAACAGCUUAAUUUUCUUUAAGAGUCCAUAUCAAUAAGAAAGCUUGAGACCUCGAUGUUGGAUUAUGAUUAAUUUAAAUGCAGGAGUUAAACUUUAAGUCUGUUCGACUUUUAAUAUCAUACGUGAUCUGA